rnacentral:tRNA from 1 species
GGGGCUGUAGCUCAGUUGGCUAGAGCGCUUGAAUGGCAUUCAAGAGGCCAAGGGUUCAAUUCCCUUUAGCUCCA